CGGCAAUUGCAAUGGCUUCUUUAUCUAUUCAUAUUCAAAAAAACAAGAUUGUUUAGAUACGCUGGGACCAAUCUCAUCCAUUUUAUUUUGAAAACGUGGACUUGUAUCAUAAUACGGAUAUCUAUUUAUUGGAAUAGAGUAUAACAUGUGAUUUCUACCGAACAUAAAGGAAAAAAAUCUUAUGCCUACAGAAACAUAAUAUAUAGAUAUAUCCAUUCUAGUAAUUUUCAAAUAGCUCAGGAUCACUGGAUGACUGAAAUGUAGUUGGUUAAUCUCUAUGUAUAUCGAUAUGUCUAGUGGGAUCGUAUUAAAUAAAGAGCAUGUUAUUAUUUUAGAUUUAACCAAUUUGAUGAAUUACUCCUAAAGGUUGACAUCAAACUACUGCUAGUUCACCUCAAACUAGUGCUAGUUGAUGAGAGUUACUUCAGAAACAAAAUAGUAGUCAAAUUUCUAAGGGAUUAUUAUCUCAAUUCCAAUAAAAUGCAAUUGGGUAAAGUAUGACUUGGCGAUCAGAACAUAUAUGGAUAGAACUUAUAACGGUGUCUCGAAAAAUAAGUAAUUUCUGCUGAGCCUUUAUCCUUUUUUUAGGUUCAUUAGGCUUCUUAUUAGUUGGAACUUCCAGUUAUCUUGGUAGAAAUUUGAUAUCUUUUUUUCCGCCUCAGCAAAUCAUUUUUUUUCCACAAGGAAUCGUGAUGUCUUUCUACGAGAAUUGCGGGUCUCUUUAUUAGCUCUUAUUUGUGGUGCACAAUUUCCUGGAAUGUAGGUAUGGUUAUGAUCGAUUCGAUAUAAAGGAAGGAAUAGUCUGUAUUUUUCAUUGGGGAUUUCCAAAAAAAAAUCAUCGCAUAUUCCUCCGAUUCCUUAUAAAGAUAUUCAGUCCGUUAGAAUAGAAGUUAAAGAGGGUAUUUAUGCUCGUCAUGUUCUUUAUAUGGACAUCCGAGGCCAGGGGUCCAUUCCCUUAACCCGUACUGAUGAGAAUUUGACUCCACGAGAAAAUUGAACAAAAGGCUGCUGAAUUAGCCUAUUUCUUGCGUGUACCAAUUGAAGUAUUUUGAGAAAUUGAGAAUCAGAACGUUCAUUCAAUUAAAGAAAACGUAUAUGAAAGAACCAUAAAACGGAACUCUUUUUAUGGUCUUUAUGCGUAUGUAAACCUACGCAAUUCAAUAACAAAUAACAAAUCGAAAUAAUAGAUUCAUCUCAGAUGGUAAACCAUUUUGAAAUCAAGAAAUUUUUUUUUAGUUAAUAUUUGUUGGAAUUGACACUUUAGAUCCAGAUAGAUCAUUUCUUGUAAAUUGAAAAUUCUUUCUUUUGUAUUCUUUAAUGACCAACAAUUGGAUGUCUUAAUUAAAUAAUGAGAACUAGCCAAUUUAUCUUUUGCCAGUCAUUUUUUUUUUAUCAUCGUAAUAUCUUUUCCUCAAUUAUUCUAUUCCUGACUAUGGGUAAUUAGUGAAAUUUUUUCAAAAUAUUGGAUAUUUUGAUAGCAAGGGAGUUCUUUCUUCUCAAAAUCUGAAAAAUAUUCAUUACUUAAAGUGGUUCUUACAACUAUAAAUGAAGACGAUAAUGAGAUAAAUUGAUAGUAUUCAUCUUUAAGUAAUGAAUACUAGGUAUGGCCUUAAAAUUAAAAAAGAGGGGUCAAAGUCGGCUAGUGAGAUGAUGGGGGAUAAGCUUCAUCGUCGAGAGGGAAACAGCCCGGAUCACCAGCUAAGGCCCCUAAAUGGCCGCUCAGUGAUAAAGGAGGUAGGGGUGCGGAGACAGCCAGGAGGUUUGCCUAGAAGCAGCCACCCUUGAAAGAGUGCGUAAUAGCUCACUGAUCGAGCGCUCUUGCGCCGAAGAUGAACGGGGCUAAGCGAUCUGCCGAAGCUGUGGGGUGUAAAAAUACAUCGGUAGGGGAGCGUUCCGCCUUAGANACAACUAUGAACCCUUUAAGUUGCCUGACGUAAGAACCACAGACCACAACACAUAUAAGAACCUUUCGUACCUACUUCAUUUAGUUAGGAAUUUUUGUAGUUUCCCUAUUUAAUAGUUCAAUUACAACUAUGAAUACUAGGUUUGCCUGUUAUUGCCUCUUCGUUUUAACUACUAUUCCCUGGGAUUGGCUUUGGGCCUUUCCUGCGCAGCUUAGGUGGAAGGCAAAGAAGCCCUCCUUCCGGGGGGGCCUGGGCUAUCAGUGAGAUACCACUCUAGAAGGGCUAGAAUUCUAACCUUGUGUCAGGACCUACGGGCCAAGGGACAGUCUCAGGUAGACAGUUUCUAUGGGGCGUAGGCCUCCCAAAAGGUAACGGAGGCGUGCAAAGGUUUCCUCGGGCCGGACGGAGAUUAGCCCUCNGGUAACGGAGGUGUGAAAAGGUUUCCUCGGGCCGGACGGAGAUUAGCCCUCGAGUGCAAAGGCAGAAGGGAGCUUAACUGCAAGACCCACCCAUCGAGCAGGGAUGAAAGUCGGCCUUAGUUAUCCGACGGUGCCGAGUGGAAGGGCCGUCGCUCAACGUAUAAAAGUUACUCUAGGGAUAACAGGCUGAUCUUCCCUAAGAGCUCACAUCGACGGAAAGAUUUGGAACCUCGAUGUCGGCUCUUUGCCACCUGGGGCUGUAGUAUGUUCCAAGGGUUGGGUUGUUCGCCCAUUAAAGCGGUACGUGAGCUGGGUUCAGAACGUCGUGAGACAAUUUGGUCCAUAUCUGGUGUGGGCGUUAGAGCAUUGAGAGGACCUUUCCCUAGACGAGAGGACCGGCAAGGACGCACCUCUGGUGUACCAGUUAUCGUGCCUACGGUAAACGCUGGGUAGCCAAGUGUGGAGCGAAUAACUGCUAAAAGCAUCUAAGUACUAAGCCCACCCCAAGAUGAGUGCUCUCCUAUUACGACUAACCCAGAGCUUUCGGUAGCAUAACCGAGACAACGACGGGUUCUCUUCCCCUGCGGGGAUGGAGCGACAAAAGUUUUUUUGAAAAUUCAAGAGAAGGUCACAGCGAGACGAGCCGUUUAUCAUUACGAUAGGUGUCAAGUGGAAGUGCAGUGAUGUAUGCAGCUGAGGCAUCCUAACAGACCGGUAGACUUGAAC
rnacentral:rRNA from 1 species